rnacentral:rRNA from 1 species
GACGAACGCUGGCGGCGUGCUUAACACAUGCAAGUCGAACGGAAAGGCCCUGCUUUUGUGGGGUGCUCGAGUGGCGAACGGGUGAGUAACACGUGAGUAACCUGCCCUUGACUUUGGGAUAACUUCAGGAAACUGGGGCUAAUACCGGAUAGGAGCUCCUGCUGCAUGGUGGGGGUUGGAAAGUUUCGGCGGUUGGGGAUGGACUCGCGGCUUAUCAGCUUGUUGGUGGGGUAGUGGCUUACCAAGGCUUUGACGGGUAGCCGGCCUGAGAGGGUGACCGGCCACAUUGGGACUGAGAUACGGCCCAGACUCCUACGGGAGGCAGCAGUGGGGAAUAUUGCACAAUGGGCGGAAGCCUGAUGCAGCAACGCCGCGUGCGGGAUGACGGCCUUCGGGUUGUAAACCGCUUUCGCCUGUGACGAAGCGUGAGUGACGGUAAUGGGUAAAGAAGCACCGGCUAACUACGUGCCAGCAGCCGCGGUGAUACGUAGGGUGCGAGCGUUGUCCGGAUUUAUUGGGCGUAAAGGGCUCGUAGGUGGUUGAUCGCGUCGGAAGUGUAAUCUUGGGGCUUAACCCUGAGCGUGCUUUCGAUACGGGUUGACUUGAGGAAGGUAGGGGAGAAUGGAAUUCCUGGUGGAGCGGUGGAAUGCGCAGAUAUCAGGAGGAACACCAGUGGCGAAGGCGGUUCUCUGGGCCUUUCCUGACGCUGAGGAGCGAAAGCGUGGGGAGCGAACAGGCUUAGAUACCCUGGUAGUCCACGCUGUAAACGGUGGGUACUAGGUGUGGGGUCCAUUCCACGGGUUCCGUGCCGUAGCUAACGCUUUAAGUACCCCGCCUGGGGAGUACGGCCGCAAGGCUAAAACUCAAAGGAAUUGACGGGGCCCCGCACAAGCGGCGGAGCAUGCGGAUUAAUUCGAUGCAACGCGUAGAACCUUACCUGGGUUUGACAUGGAUCGGGAGUGCUCAGAGAUGGGUGUGCCUCUUUUGGGGUCGGUUCACAGGUGGUGCAUGGCUGUCGUCAGCUCGUGUCGUGAGAUGUUGGGUUAAGUCCCGCAACGAGCGCAACCCUUGUUCACUGUUGCCAGCACGUUAUGGUGGGGACUCAGUGGAGACCGCCGGGGUCAACUCGGAGGAAGGUGGGGAUGACGUCAAGUCAUCAUGCCCCUUAUGUCCAGGGCUUCACGCAUGCUACAAUGGCUGGUACAGAGAGUGGCGAGCCUGUGAGGGUGAGCGAAUCUCGGAAAGCCGGUCUCAGUUCGGAUUGGGGUCUGCAACUCGACCUCAUGAAGUCGGAGUCGCUAGUAAUCGCAGAUCAGCAACGCUGCGGUGAAUACGUUCCCGGGACA